UUACGGCCACACCACGUUGAAACACUGCUUUUUAUACGAUCACCGAAGUUAAGCAACGUCGAGCCUCCUUAGUACCCAGAUUGGUAACCGUUUAGGAAUACUUGGAUGUG